AUCAUUUAAUUUUCUCCUCUUCUCUUCUCCUAUCUACAGCCAUCCCUCAACAAGUACCUGAUAUUAUCUUCUGUUAGCAACUCUUCCCGUGUUGCUUUGCUCCUAUACUUUGUCCUUUUAGUGGUCUCAAGUUGAAAAUCUUUGCUUGGUAGAUUCCCUUUCCCUUUUUUUUGGGUGCAAAUGAGGUGAAACCAGGACAUGGUUAAUCAAGUUCCCUUUACUGAAUGUAUCAAGCGUAUGACUAUCUGUGCUAGGAGAACUAUGCCUGCUGAAUCUUUUUCUCCUCGAUCCUUUCUAGUAUUUUAUAUGGUAGGCCUAAGGAAGU
rnacentral:misc_RNA from 1 species